GACGGGAGGGGCAAGCGUUACCCGGAUUUACUGGGUGUAAAGGGUCUGUAGGUGGUCAGGUAUGUCAUGUCUGAAAGUCUCUGGCUCAACCAGAGGAUUGGGCAUGAAACUGCUUGACUUGAGUCCGGACGAGGGGAGCGGAACUGCCGGUGUAGCGGUGAAAUGCGUAGAUAUCGGCAGGAACACCAGUGGCAAAGGCGGCUCUCUAUUCCGGCACUGACACUGAGAGACGAAAGCGUGGGGAGCGAUCGGG
rnacentral:rRNA from 1 species